rnacentral:rRNA from 1 species
GAUGAACGCUGGCGGCGUGCCUAAUACAUGCAAGUCGAGCGAACAGACGAGGAGCUUGCUCCUCUGACGUUAGCGGCGGACGGGUGAGUAACACGCGGAUAACCUACCUAUAAGACUGGGAUAACUUCGGGAAACCGGAGCUAAUACCGGAUAAUAUAUUGAACCGCAUGGUUCAAUAGUGAAAGACGGUUUUGCUGUCACUUAUAGAUGGAUCCGCGCCGCAUUAGCUAGUUGGUAAGGUAACGGCUUACCAAGGCGACGAUGCGUAGCCGACCUGAGAGGGUGAUCGGCCACACUGGAACUGAGACACGGUCCAGACUCCUACGGGAGGCAGCAGUAGGGAAUCUUCCGCAAUGGGCGAAAGCUUGACGGAGCAACGCCGCGUGAGUGAUGAAGGUCUUCGGAUCGUAAAACUCUGUUAUUAGGGAAGAACAAAUGUGUAAGUAACUAUGCACGUCUUGACGGUACCUAAUCAGAAAGCCACGGCUAACUACGUG